rnacentral:tRNA from 1 species
UCGGGGGUAGCUCAGUGGCAGAGCGGCUCGCUGUUAACGAGAUGGUCGAGGGUUCGAACCCCUCCCCCCGAGCCA